UACAGAGGGUGCAAGCGUUAAUCGGAAUUACUGGGCGUAAAGCGUGCGUAGACGGUCAUGUAAGUCGGGUGUGAAAGCCCCGGGCUCAACCUGGGAAUUGCAUUCGAGACUGCAUGGCUAGGGUGCGGAAGAGGGAAGCGGAAUUUCCGGUGUAGCGGUGAAAUGCGUAGAUAUCGAGAGGAACACCUGCGGCGAAGGCGGGUUGCUGGGCUGACACUGACGCUGAUGCGCGAAAGCUAGGGGAGCGAACGGG
rnacentral:rRNA from 1 species